GUCAUAGAUUACAUGUAUGUCGGGGAGCCAAGAGAAAACACAAGUCGUUGAUUGCUGAUCCAUACACUGCAUCUCAAGCAUGCGCGCAUCAUUACAUGAGGCCGAACCAACGAAGAACCAAAUAGGAAUCACAGCAACGAAGUAACCAAAUUGGAAUCACAACAACGUAGUAUGAGGCUACCCUACAAAAAUUUGGAAUGAGGUGCAGUGGAACUCAGUCCGAGUGAGAAGAAAGAAAGAAAGAAAGAAAGAAGCUAAUGGCCGAUGCCAGGGCUGGGGACGGAUCCCAGAAUCCUCUCGACGUUGUUCUCGCUUGUGCCGUGACCGCUGAUGCUCGGAGAAGAUGGCGGCGGGCAUCUCUUUGGCGAAACAGUACUUUGCAGUGAAUCAGCAUCAGCUUUCAGGGAUCCAACCUUGUCGUUCUUCCUGGCAUGCAGAGGGGGUGCGAGGACGAGAGAGAGGAUGAGCACGAGUGUGAUCGGCUUGCAGAACGAGGCCAUGGUGAGAGGUGGGAGGAUUUCGGGAAGGGCUGUGGGUGGCUUUUAUAUUGUGAUGAGAGAGAGGGUGGUGUGCAGCGGAAGGAGAAUUGCAAUAACCAAAUUAUUGAGUCCUAAUUUGAAUGAAUGCAAAGUUUCGAUUGUGUCUCAGACUUGAGAGUGGAGGAUUGAGGAGAAGAGUUGUAAUGUAAGCAAUCACUAAC
rnacentral:lncRNA from 1 species